rnacentral:sRNA from 1 species
AAGCCAUGUAAGCCAUUUGUUUCCGAUCUUUGGCCACGGAUAUACUGGCAUCGAUCGUCGAGACAAUGAAGGAAGAGGUCGGGUCAGCCCGGCCUUUUUUGUU